rnacentral:misc_RNA from 1 species
AAGUCGUAACAAGGUUUCCGUAGGUGAACCUGCGGAAGGAUCAUUAAAGAGUUGUCCUGCACCCCUCUGGGAUGAGGCCUACGGUGAGGCUCGGAGUUAAACCCCGGGUCCCAGUCUCUUCCACCCUGUGCAUACCUUCCACGUUGCUUUGGCGGGCCUGGCACGUCCUUCUGGGCACCCUGCCGGCGUCGGACUUCGUCCCCGGCCGGCGAGCGCCCCGCCAGAGACCCCUUACCCGAUUCUGAUUUUUUCCAAUGUCGUCUGAGCAAAAUCACAAAAUUAAAAUCAAAAG